rnacentral:rRNA from 1 species
UACGAGUGGUGCAAGCGUUAUCCGGAAUCACUGGGCGUAAAGGGUGUGUAGGUGGUAUGGUUAGUCUUUCGUUAAAGCUCCCGGCUUAACCGGGAAAAAGCGAAAGAAACGGCCACACUUAGAGGGUGCGAGAGGUUUGCGGAACUCAUGGUGUAGGGGUGAAAUCCGUUGAUAUCAUGGGGAACACCAAAAGCGAAGGCAGCAAACUGGCGCACGCCUGACACUGAAACACGAAAGCGUGGGUAGCGAA